UAGGGAAUCUUCCGCAAUGGGCGAAAGCCUGACGGAGCAACGCCGCGUGAGUGAUGAAGGUCUUCGGAUCGUAAAACUCUGUUAUUAGGGAAGAACAAAUGUGUAAGUAACUAUGCACGUCUUGACGGUACCUAAUCAGAAAGCCACGGCUAACUACGUGCCAGCAGCCGCGGUAAUACGUAGGUGGCAAGCGUUAUCCGGAAUUAUUGGGCGUAAAGCGCGCGUAGGCGGUUUUUUAAGUCUGGUGUGAAAGCCCACGGCUCAACCGUGGAGGGUCAUUGGAAACUGGAAAACUUGAGUGCAGAAGAGGAAAGUGGAAUUCCAUGUGUAGCGGUGAAAUGCGCAGAGAUAUGGAGGAACACCAGUGGCGAAGGCGACUUUCUGGUCUGUAACUGACGCUGAUGUGCGAAAGCGUGGGGGUCAAACAGG
rnacentral:rRNA from 1 species